GACGAACGCUGGCGGCGUGCCUAAUACAUGCAAGUUGAGCGCUGAAGGAUGGUACUUGUACCAACUGGAUGAGCAGCGAACGGGUGAGUAACGCGUGGGGAAUCUGCCUUUGAGCGGGGGACAAACUUUGGAAACGAAUGCUAAUACCGCAUAAAAACUUUAAACACAAGUUUUAAGUUUGAAAGAUGCAACUGCAUCACUCAAAGAAGAUCCCGAGGUGUCUUAGCUAGUUGGUGAGGUAAAGGCUCACCAAGGCGAUGAUACACAGCCGACCUGAGAGGGUGAUCGGCAACAUUGGGACUGAGACACGGCCCAAACUCCUACGGGAGGCAGCAGUAGGGAAUCUUCGGCAAUGGACGAAGGUCUGACCGAGCAACGCCGCGUGAGUGAAGAAGGUUUUCGGAUCGUAAAACUCUGUUGGUAGAGAAGAACGUUGGUGAGAGUGGAAAGCUCAUCAAGUGACGGUAACUACCCAGAAAGGGACGGCUAACUACGUGCCAGCCGCCGCGGUAA
rnacentral:rRNA from 1 species